CAGGAUGAACUGUGAGUGGCAUUUUUGUCAGGACAAAUGGACCGAACAAUGCAUCCUGCA
ensembl:miRNA